rnacentral:rRNA from 1 species
AUUGAACGCUGGCGGCAGGCCUAAUACAUGCAAGUCGAACGAGUGGCGGACGGGUGAGUAAUGUCUGGGAAACUGCCUGAUGGAGGGGGAUAACUACUGGAAACGGUAGCUAAUACUGCAUACCAUCAGAUGUGCCCAGAUGGGAUUAGCUAGUUGGUGGGGUAACGGCUCACCAAGGCGACGAUCCCUAGCGGGUCUGAGAGGAUGACCGGCCACACUGGAACUGAGACACGGUCCAGACUCCUACGGGAGGCAGCAGUGGGGAAUAUUGCACAAUGGGCGCAAGCCUGAUGCAGCAAUGCCGCGUGUGUGAAGAAGGCCUUCGGGUCGUAAAGCACUUUUAUCAGGGAGGCGUUACCCGCAGAGGAAGCACCGGCUAACUCCGUGCCAGCAGCCGCGGUAAUUC